UUUAGCUUUGAAAACAGGUGUCACGGGUUCUCCCCGUUUGCAGACCCUAAUUAAAACUUGAAAAGCAAAAGUACACCAUACUUGAGAGUACCGACGCCGCCUCCUUCCCAUCCUCCUCCUCCUCCUCCUCCUCGUCGGAGAGGAAAGAGGUGCCUGUACUUUACUUUCGUUGUUAUAGCAAACCUGUCAAAUCCAAUCCACUCAGAAGUAAUAUUUUCGAAUUCUGAUCCUGUCAUCGUUUAUAGCAAAUUUAUCACAAAUCAAAUCACACCUCUGGUCUCCCAGCAAAUCCCAGAUUUACCAUGUCUAGUGCAACAAAUUCUGAUUUCUUCAGAUCUACUUUUGGCUAUGGUUUUCAAUCUUCAAUUUUCUCAAAAGAUGUGAAUUUUGCCCAAUAUUCAUCCACCAAAGUCAAGAAAAUUCUCCAAUUCUGGGGGAUAGGUGGAUGCCAUCGAUUGCUGAUGAUGAUUAUGGAGAAAAGAAGAAAAAAAAAAACAAACACAUCCACCCUUGCCAUUGGGAGGCUAUGGAUGGACGACGAUUCAAUCUUGGACCGCUUCAGUGUGACAAGUGAAAGCUAAGUAACAAAACUCCUUUCCUACACAAUACUCCUUCUUUUAGAGGGGUUUCUAGUUUUACGCCCCUAGGCUAAGGUCUGAUUUGAUAUUGCUGUGUUUUUAAGACGCUCUGCUUGCAGAGGAGGACCUCGGAACUCCCGAGUGCUAGAACCAUUUUGUUGGGCCUAUUUAGCUCUCUUUCAGCCCAUACUUGUUAGCUCUCAACUUGUUUUGUUGCUCAAGGCCCAGGCUAUCAGGACGAAAUACGAUGGCUGCGUUUUAUCCUUGUAGCUAGGGUUUUCCCUUCCAGCUGAAUAUAAAUACUGUUGCUGUGCUCUGUAAAAGGGGAUCUGAUGAAUGAAAUGAACCUUCUUUCCUUUUAAUUUCCCCGAUUCCAUCUGCCUGAACCGAUUGGGCGUACCACCGAGUCCUUUGUGCAUCUUUUUCUCUCGCUUGCUCCUAGUCUCUCAUCAAAUCGCCAACCAAGUUGAUUGGAUUCAAACUAGAAAGGUGGCAUUAUUGUUUUGGAAAUAGUAGUGGAAUAACUUUCACGUUUUUGAAAGAUAAGCUUUUGGGGAAAUAAACAUAAUAUAAUUUGGUAACUUCUUUUACUUGAAUUAAAACUUGGUCUGGGUUGUUAAAUUCUCUCAUGGAUUUUGUGGUUUCCAAAGCUCCUUUUGUUUUAUUCAUAAUAAUUCUUUAACUUAUCACUCUUACUGUUUCAUAUCUUACUGAGCAGGGAGAUGAUAACUAGACACUUUUUCACAGUGGUUUAGGAAUGUAGUCUAUUACUUGAAAAAUAUAAACGUUUCUUCUCUUCUAAAAGUCUUUGUUAAUGCAUGAUGCAAGCAAGGUUUUACACCAAAUUUUUAAACAGUAUCGGUAAACUUCCAGUGGGUAAACUUUAAGUGGGUAAAUUUAGUGUGCAUAGUGGAAAUAAUCGUGAGGCAACUGGUACAGUUGAUGGGUUUUGCUUGACACACUAUAUGUACACACCUUGCAUUCCACAUGUCACUAGUGGAAUGAUAGACGGUCACCCCGUUUCCUUGCAUGAAGUUGAUGAGAUCGAGUCAAUAGAAUGGUAUGCACAGUUGUGCGAACUUAGAAGUCAUUAUAUUUUAAGUGCUGAUUUCAAAGUAAAGGACGAAAAGGGUCGCGUGUUUCUUGUUGACAACCCGACUAGACGGUUGGUUAAAAUCAUGGGUUAAGUGUAACACAUGUUUUAAUGCAAGAUAUUCCCAUCUUCCAUAUCCGAACUUGUUACUGUUAGUGAGGUAAAUUUCGAGACUUAACAUGCUUAGGAUAGGACUUUCUUUGUUGUUGUUGUUGUGUAAUGUUAUGUUGUUUUAUCUUAUGUUGUUGUUGUAUCAUGUUGGGUAUAUCUUGUGCGGUAUGAGGGAUGUCCAGCUGCAGAUAAAGAGGGAUCAUUUAAAUAUUAAUCUUAACACGAUUUUUUUAGUGUCUUUUGGCGAGCGAUAUAGAGCUAUGCUCUCGCAUAUGCUAGAAGCUACAAGUCAGAAGGCUAAAUUGGAUUCCCAAGCAUUUGCUCUAUAUCGCCCGCCAAAAGACACAAAAAAAUUGGGUCAAGAUUAAUAUUGAAAUGAUCUCUCUUUGUCUGCAGCUGGAAAUCCCUCAUACCACACAAGAUAUCCCUAACAUGAUACAACAACAUAAGAUACAGCAACAUAACAUCAUACAACAACAACAAAAAAGAAAGUCAUCCUAAGUAUGUUAAGUCUCGAAAUUUACCUCAGUAAUAGUAGCAAGUUCGGAAAUGAAGGAUGGGGAUAUCUUGCAUUAAAACAUGGGUUACACUUAACCCAUGAUUUUAACCAACCGUCUACUCAGGUUGUCAACAAGAACAACGGACCCUUUUUGUCCUUUAUUUUGACAUCAACACCUAAAAUAUGAUAACUUUGAGUUCGCACGACUGUGCAUACCAUUCUAUCGACUUGAUCUCAUCAACUUCAUGCAAGGAAACGGGGUGACCGUCUAACAUUCCACUAGCGACAUGUGGAAUGCAAGGUGUGUACAUAUAAUGUGUCAAGCAAAGCCCAUCAACUGUACCAGUUGCCUCACGAUUAUUUGCAAUAUGCACACUAAAUUUACCCCCUUGAAGUUUAUCUACUAGAAGUUUACCCCUGUAGCUACUGUUUAAAAUUUUGGUGUAAAACCUUGCUUGCGUCCUACAUUAACAAGGACUUUUAGAAGAGUAGAAACAUUCAUAUUUUUCAAGUAAUAGACUACAUUCCUAAACAACCGUGAAAAAAAGUGAAAGAAAUGAAACAGUAUGAGUGAUAAGUUCUAGAACUAUUAUGAAUAAAACAAAAAGAGCUUGGAUGUGUAUAUACAUGGAAAAAUUUAACAACCCAGUCCAAAUUUUAAUUCAAGUAAAAGAAGUUAUCAAAUUAUAAUUUGUUUAUUUUCCUAAAAGCUUAUCGUUCAAACACGUGAAGUAGAGAGAUGGCGAGGAAGAAUUGUGGGGUUUUGAUAUGUGAGACGAUGAUUGGCAAUUGCUAUAACCCCCGAAUCCCAAUCCGAGGUCGUCGUCUUCUUCAUCAUCACUGUACGGUCCAAAUCUUAGCCCCCAAAUUCAAUGCCAACAUCUGCCAUUCCUUCCUCCAAUGCAUCCGCCUUCUCCUUGGCCUCACUCCUAGCUAGGGUCUCUGCCUCCGGUGCACUCGGCCUUAGGCCCAGGCUCAAAACUUCUGUUUCCGAGUCCCCAAGACAUGAUCAUGUUGACCCGAAAAGAAGGAAUAUAAGAGAGCAAUUAAAGAAGUUAAAGGUGGACGUUUGCAAGCAGUUUUCUACUUUACUACAGCAGCUUGCCCAAAUAGUAAGUUGUGAUGCAAUACAAUUUUAUCAGUAAGUUAUUUCUUGUAAACUGCUGCUCUGCAACUUGUAUUUGGUGUACUAUUCUUUUGCAGCCGUCACGUACUCAAUUUCAAUCAUUCGAAAGAUCAUGGAGCAUUUCCCACAUGUAAAACUAUAUAAGGUUCUGCUUACUGUUGAGAGUAAUGAGCUUAAGAAUUCUGAAAAGAAAAGAAAACACCUAGCGAUUGAACGUUAUGAGUCGCAUGGAGGAAAACUCAAACCGAUUUAAAAAGCAGAUUCGGCUUAGAGGAUGAGAUGAAUAGAGGUUUAUAUGGUUUGUCCUUGGGACGUUCCGGGCACUUUUCCGACCAGUGGAGGCCUUUAUCCCUACAAUGGUUACAAUAUGCGACAAUAAGACGUCCUUUGGAGGAACCACCAGGAUGGGCACAACAGUUGGGGUUUUUGUAAAAAAGACCACAAAACUACACCAUAACCAUCGCCAACAAUAGCGCCCGGUGGGACACCAUUCCAGUAUGGGCAGGCAGAACUGAAGUGCACAUUUUCCUUACGGCAAACUCUACAGUGCCCGAAAUUAUGCUUUUCUUGUUCUGUUUUUUCCUCGAGCUGGAGUUGAGCCUUUGAGUCUCCAACCUCCUUUGAGCCUUUUUUGUCCAGUGGGGCCCACAAGCCCUUUGACUUGGCCUUCGAUUGGAGAUGGUUUUCGAGCUAUUUUCAGCCUUCUGGCCCUUUAAACCCUUUGGUUGAAGAUGACCUAAUGACCUCAUGAUAUAGAAACAGUAGGAUUUAGUUGCGGGGAAAGGAGGCAUAUAAUGCGUAUGCUCUUGGGAUAAGAAUGUGACGUGGUACUAAUUAAACAUUUUGUUCUCACAAAAGAUUAUUAAUUAGAUUUAUGUAAAUAAGAGAAGAAUUCCCUCUCUUCUCAUUUCUAUACAAUUCAUUUUGUUUGUGCCAUGAAUAAAAUAAAGCUUGUUACGGGGUUUA